GCGCCGUUUUCUUAUGUUUUUUAUGAUGCUAAACUUCCUGCUACACUCUCUUCACAAUGUGAUGCUCACGCAUCGUCGGAGAAACGAGCUCCGAACUGUGAAGGUGUGUCGAACUAGAGAGCAUGCUUGCUGAUGGCGGCCCUUGGUGAACGGAAUGAGUUUUCACAGUGUUCAUGCUUAUGGUGCAUGGUGCUCGUUGAGAGGUAGAAAUAAAUCGACACCCGUUUGAAACUCUCUUCGCCUUGAUCAAUAAAUCCAAGGGGCCGCUACACUAUCCAUCCUCUGUACUCUCUAUACCUGUGUUCUGCCUCCUACAAGCAAUGUCACAGCUAAACAAGUCAAUGUCACAGCUAAACAAGUCAAUGUCACAGCUAAACAAAACCAUUCAAGGGGGCAGGUUCUACAAGGUCAGUUUAUUUUCCAAUGGAAAACAGGCCUCUGGAAAUGUUUAGAAAAAUCGAUGUGUUGGUUUAAACAAUGUCAACAUCUGACAUUUUUAUUUGUAUAACGUCAAGUUCUACAUUUUUUUUAUAGAGUGCAUAACACAGCAAUGUACUGUCCCACAGUGUAAGAUCACUGAUUUAUUCAUUGUUAUGAACAUGCUUUGCAGUACCUGUGAAGGUUCAAACUGUACCAGACAAAAGCAUUUUGCUCUUGUCAACAUUGUGAAUAGAGCCCAAUAGUGGCAGAUGGGUUAUGAUAUGGACAUAGUUGUCCAACCAGUUCCGCAGAGGGCCGUGUGUCUGCUGGUGUUUGCUCUUCCCUCACCUGGUUGUGUAGGCUUCAAUUGGGCACCAAUUGAAAGGGAAACCCAAAAACCAGCAUACACUUUGGCCUCUGUGAAAUCGAUUUGUUGCCUGUGAUGUAGACAGACAUAAGGACAGCAUGCAAAAUUGCAUUUUAUCAGUAGCAAUUUGGAGUCGCACAUUUACGCCGUGACGAAACAACAGCACGAUCAACGCUUUGAUGAGAGGUAUUGUAUUACUUGAGGUAAAUAGUGGUCAAACUGGUUUAGUGAUCCACACUCCUACCUUUUUGUUAUUUCUCAAGCUACAUUAUCUGUGUCAAACAGAUUGAUACUUAUUUUCCCAGUAAUGCAAAAUCCAUAGAGUAGGGCCUGACAAAUGUAUUUAGUCUGACUGAUUUCUUGAGUCUGAACAGUAAGGAAUUGAUUACAUAAGUAUUCACAACCUUUAGCCAAUUUUUGCUAGAUACACCAUAGGCCGCAAUUGACUUGAAUUGGGUACUUUUUACUCGACUUUACCCAUCUGGGCACAGAUACGCCCUAGAUGAACACCUGUGUGCCUGCCUUUUGUAAUGACAAUUCCACUUAUAUUGAAGCUCAUGCCAUGCUAUACUGUGGGUCUCUGUGUCUCUCUGUGUUCGUGCCUCUCUGUCUCUGUGUGUGCCUGUGUGUUUAUGUAAGAGGUGUUUUUGUCUCCUAGGAUCUCAUUCCAAACAGCUUUGUUCAUGUCUGCCUCUGGUCCUCACUUUCCCAGAGAUCACGUGAUGACUUCCAGUCAGUGCAAGAGUCCGUAAACCACUACAUUACUGCUGAAACGAUUUUCUGAACUGCAUCAGAAAAUCUGACCUGAACUCUCCUCAUAAUAGAGGAAGUCAGACAUUCAUGAAGUCUGUCACAUAGAAUAAUAGUUAAGAGAGUGGGAAUAAGCAAACAAAAUCACUGCCAAAUUCACAAUUUCAGAAAUAGAAAUCUUCAAACGUAACAAACUCAUCUUAACACAGAAGAGCAGUACACUUCCUCUGAUGUGCUUAGAUGCAGGUAUGGGCAGUAUUUAUGAUACAUGUAUUUAAAAAACAUAUUUCAAAUACAAAAUAGUAUUUUG